rnacentral:sRNA from 1 species
GCCAGAUGCGGUGGCACACGCCUGUAAUCCCAGCGGCUCAGGAGGCUGAGGCAGGAGGAUAGCGAGUUCAAAGCCAGCCUCAGUAACUGUGAGGCGCUAAGCAACUCAGCGAGAUCCUGCCUUUA